AACGCACAUUGCGCCUGCUAGUAUUCUGGCAGGCAUGCCUGUUCGAGCGUCAUUUCAACCCUCAGGCCCCUCGUGGUCUGCCGUUGGGGCUGCUCUGCGGCGUUUUGUCGCAGGCCCUGAAGAACAGUGGCGGGCCCGCUGAGACCCCGAGCGUAGUAGAACACACCUCGCUAAGGGAGCCUCGACGGGAUCCUAGCCGUAAAAAAAGGCUGCCGGAGUCUCUCCUGCACCGUGUUUUUUACAAGGUUGACCUCGGAUCAGGUAGGAAUACCCGCUGAACUUAA
rnacentral:misc_RNA from 1 species